UGAGGAAUAUUGGUCAAUGGGCGAGAGCCUGAACCAGCCAAGUAGCGUGCAGGAUGACGGCCCUAUGGGUUGUAAACUGCUUUUAUAAGGGAAUAAAGUGAGUCUCGUGAGGCUUUUUGCAUGUACCUUAUGAAUAAGGACCGGCUAAUUCCGUGCCAGCAGCCGCGGUAAUACGGAAGGUCCGGGCGUUAUCCGGAUUUAUUGGGUUUAAAGGGAGCGUAGGCCGGAGAUUAAGCGUGUUGUGAAAUGUAGACGCUCAACGUCUGCACUGCAGCGCGAACUGGUUUCCUUGAGUUACGCGACG
rnacentral:rRNA from 1 species